ensembl:lncRNA novel transcript
ACAGUAGGGGACUUAGCAACCUCCUCCCAUGCCUGUCUGCUUUCCUAUUGCAGAGGCAGACAGAGAGAGGCCUCUCUCUGAUUUCUGCCUUCUCUGUCCUAUAGACAUGGUUUUAAUGAGUUAUCCUAAUUAGGUCAGGCCCACCUGAGAUAAUCUCUCCUGAUUAACUUGAAGUCAACUGAUUAGGGACCUUUAUUACAUUGACAGAAUACCUCCACUUUUGCCAUAUAAGCUCUGGCCAGGACAGCCUAUCUGUGCAGGAGGCAUUGCUGGCACCCCGUGGGGACUGAGGACCAAGGAGGAGCUGCUCCCCCACACACGGUUCGUACUUCUGCUCUGUGAAGAGAGACAACUGUGCCCUGUCACCUUCACUGAACUAUGAGGAUAUUUUUAUAAGACAUCUAUUUCCCAGAUGAGAUAUUCCCUGACAAGUUUUAGGAUAUCAUUAUGUUGUCUGCUGGCUCAUCAACUGAGAAAUCAGCUGCCAGUCUUAUUGUUGUCUCUGUAAAGGAAUGUGUUUUUCACAUCUGGCUACGGCACUUACCCAAGCAGAAACGGGGUUUCACCAUGUUAGCCAAGAUGGUCUCGAUCUCCUGACCUCGCGAUCCGCCCGCCUUGGCCUCCCAAAGUGCUGGGAUUAUGCAUUCUCUCUUUACAUCACAAUGACCAUGACCUUGGAUAUGGAGUCCACUCAAAAGUAAUCUGAACUAAUAAACAAAUUCUGCAAGGUUGAAGAAUACAAGGAGAUAUGGAAUCACCAAAGAAUACUGACACAGAAGAACCAAGUAGGAGAGUGUGCAAUUCCCAGUCUCAUAUCUCAUUACAAAACCAAACUAAACAAGGCAUUGGCACAAGAAUAGACAUACAGAUCAAUGGAACAGAACUGAGACCCCAGAAAUAAAACCAAGUGGUCAGCUGACUUUUUGAAA